ACUCCGGACUUUACUACUGUGAUGGAAAACCAGCUGUUUAUCUGAACGUAAUCAAAGCUAUUCUUCCAGAGACUCCUUAUCCGUGGCAGAUGUGUGUUCGUACGGUGAUCGGAAUCCUCUAUUUAAUCAUCAUGAUCAGCAUCACCGUCACCACCUGGAGGAAAGCUCGACAAACAGAAGCG